rnacentral:rRNA from 1 species
AUUGAACGCUGGCGGCAGGCCUAACACAUGCAAGUCGAGCGGAUGAAGGGAGCUUGCUCCUGGAUUCAGCGGCGGACGGGUGAGUAAUGCCUAGGAAUCUGCCUGGUAGUGGGGGAUAACGUCCGGAAACGGGCGCUAAUACCGCAUACGUCCUGAGGGAGAAAGUGGGGGAUCUUCGGACCUCACGCUAUCAGAUGAGCCUAGGUCGGAUUAGCUAGUUGGUGGGGUAAAGGCCUACCAAGGCGACGAUCCGUAACUGGUCUGAGAGGAUGAUCAGUCACACUGGAACUGAGACACGGUCCAGACUCCUACGGGAGGCAGCAGUGGGGAAUAUUGGGCAAUGGGCGAAAGCCUGAUCCAACCAUGCCGCGUGUGUGAAGAAGGUCUUCGGAUUGUAAAGCACUUUAAGUUGGGAGGAAGGGCAGUAAGUUAAUACCUUGCUGUUUUGACGUUACCAACAGAAUAAGCACCGGCUAACUUCGUG